GUGCUUGCUUUGGCAGCACAUAUACUAAAAUUGGAACGAUAUAGAGAAGAUUAGCAUGGCCCCUGUGCAAGGAUGACAUGCAAAUUCCUGAAGUGUUCCAUAUUUUU
rnacentral:snRNA from 1 species